GAUGAACGCUGGCGGCGUGCCUAAUACAUGCAAGUCGAGCGAACGGACGAGAAGCUUGCUUUUCUGAUGUUAGCGGCGGACGGGUGAGUAACACGUGGAUAACCUACCUAUAAGACUGGGAUAACUUCGGGAAACCGGAGCUAAUACCGUAUAAUAUUUUGAACCGCAUGGUUCAAAAGUGAAAGACGGUCUUGCUGUCACUUAUAGAUGGAUCCGCGCUGCAUUAGCUAGUUGGUAAGGUAACGGCUUACCAAGGCAACGAUGCAUAGCCGACCUGAGAGGGUGAUCGGCCACACUGGAACUGAGACACGGUCCAGACUCCUACGGGAGGCAGCAGUAGGGAAUCUUACGCAAUGGGCGAAAGCCUGACGGAGCAACGCCGCGUGAGUGAUGAAGGUCUUCGGAUCGUAAAACUCUGUUAUUAGGGAAGAACAUAUGUGUAAGUAACUGUGCACAUCUUGACGGUACCUAAUCAGAAAGCCACGGCUAACUACGUG
rnacentral:rRNA from 1 species